GGUUGUGUAGUGUAGUGGUUAUCACUCGAGAUUUUGAGAAGAUAUGUCUUCGGAUGAAUUCUCGUAACCCCGGUUCGAACCCGGGCACGACCU